rnacentral:rRNA from 1 species
GGAGUAACGCGUGAGGAUCUGCCCUUCGGGGGGGGACAACAGUUGGAAACGGCUGCUAAUACCCCAUAAGCCGGGAGGUAAAAGGAGCAAUCCACCGGGGGAGGAACUCGCGUCCUAUCAGCUGGUUGGUGAGGUAAGGGCUCACCAAGGCGAUGACGGGUAACUGGUCUGAGAGGGCGACCAGUCACACUGGAACUGAGACACGGUCCAGACUCCUACGGGAGGCAGCAGUGGGGAAUAUUGGGCAAUGGGGGAAACCCUGACCCAGCGACGCCGCGUGAGGGAUGAAGUCUUUCGGGACGUAAACCUCUGUUGUACGGGAAGAAGGAAGUGACGGUACCGUACGAGAAGCCCCGCAAAC